UACAUGUGGGGCAAGCGUUGUUCGGAAUUACUGGGCGUAAAGGGUGCGUAGGCGGCUUCCUAAGUUUGAUGUGAAAUCCUGGGGCUCAACCCUGGAACUGCAUUGAAUACUGGGAGGCUAGAGUACUGGAGAGGAAACUGGAAUUUACGGUGUAGCAGUGAAAUGCGUAGAGAUCGUAAGGAAGACCAGUGGCGAAGGCGAGUUUCUGGACAGUUACUGACGCUGAGGCACGAAGGCCAGGGGAGCAAACGGG
rnacentral:rRNA from 1 species